rnacentral:rRNA from 1 species
AGUCGAACGGUAACUGGGAGGAGCUUGCUCCGCCCCGACGACGAGUGGCGAACGGGUGAGUAAUACAUCGGAACGUGUCCGCUCGUGGGGGACAACCAGCCGAAAGGUUGGCUAAUACCGCAUGAGUUCUACGGAAGAAAGAGGGGGACCCGCAAGGGCCUCUCGCGAGCGGAGCGGCCGAUGACUGAUUAGCCAGUUGGUGAGGUAACGGCUCACCAAAGCAACGAUCAGUAGCUGGUCUGAGAGGACGACCAGCCACACUGGGACUGAGACACGGCCCAGACUCCUACGGGAGGCAGCAGUGGGGAAUUUUGGACAAUGGGCGCAAGCCUGAUCCAGCUAUUCCGCGUGUGGGAUGAAGGCCCUCGGGUUGUAAACCACUUUUGUAGAGAACGAAAAGACACCAUCGAAUAAAUGGUGUUGCUGACGGUACUCUAAGAAUAAGCACCGGCUAACUACGUGCCAGCAGCCGCGGUAAUACGUAGGGUGCGAGCGUUAAUCGGAAUUACUGGGCGUAAAGGGUGCGCAGGCGGUUGAGUAAGACAGAUGUGAAAUCCCCGAGCUUAACUCGGGAAUGGCAUAUGUGACUGCUCGACUAGAGUGUGUCAGAGGGAGGUGGAAUUCCACGUGUAGCAGUGAAAUGCGUAGAUAUGUGGAAGA